CAGGAGCCACACGCUGGAGUCUAACAUCUAAAGAAGGUGUUGGGGGCUGCGAGGCAGGGAAGGCCCCUUUAUAAAUACUGAUGAGAGAAACUGAAUUCAAUUGCAUCAGGUUGUACUUCACUGAUGGGUAAAGGACCGAAGGUUUUUUUUUUUUAAAGUGCUUUAACCACUUUAAGGUUCCAUGGGCUAACCAGCUUCGGACAAAAUCCAGAAAUAUACUCGGUAUGCAAAAGAGCGAGUGUGAAAUCUGCAAGAAGUAAAGCACUGCCGCAGAGCUCUUUAAUUCACUCUGCAUAAAUAGCUGAACCUACAAAAGAAAUCUCUAGUCAGAGGUUUCCUGGAUUAUAAUGAGAAUUUUCUCGAUGGGGAGAAGAGAAGUGCUCUUUUCACUUGAAGACAAAGAAAUGUUUGUGAUGGAAAUGUGGGAACCAAUUUUCCAAAAAGAGCUGCUGAAAUGCACUGAUUAAAAACACAGUGAGGUGAUGAGGCAGAGAAAGAAAGACAGCCAAAGCUGAGCCACUUAAAAUUUGCGACUGCACUUAUUUCUGAAAGUGAAGACAGCCAGCUCGGGCCACCAGCUACAUUCCUUCCCCUCCCCUUGCCCGAGCCGCCCCCACCCCAUUUCUGCCCCUGCCCCUUAGACAAUUAGAACCGGCCAGCGCGCAGGACUGUUUACUGUUUCUGGCCGCUGUGGACUGGUUACUAGGCUACUCCACGGAGGACAACGUAGGAACCGGGCGGCCCCAAAGACUGUCUGUCCUUCCCUGCAAAGCCCAACCCACAGACAGGCCUGAUUCGGGGCCUCGGAGGGAAAGUGUGAAGGGAGGGAAGCUGAGUCCAGAGGACGUGGAAUGACUUGACCAAGGUCACUCGGCUAUUGAAUGACUGAGGUCCUCUGAGUGCCUCCCGCCUGCCAGGGUACAGCAGUGACGAUGACAGACAUGGCUUCCUGCCCUCGUGGCACCUCGAGUGUAGCGAGAAAGACGCUGAACAGGAGAGCUGAGCAAGGGGGAGAAGCAGUGCAGGCUGCUGCAGGAAAGAGGCUCCACAGGGGAGGUAUGACACAGGAGCCUGUUUCUGUGUUUUGUCCAGACUCUGAAGUGGCAGCCAGUGACCCUCAGCUUUGAGGAGGAGCCCGAGGUAAAGAGUCCUCAGGCCCUGAGCCCCGAGCGCCUCCGCAGCCUGAGCAGGAGAGGCCGCCUGUCAUGCGGGGACACGGUGAGGCCAGGAGUGCACGUGACAAGGCAAGGCUGAUUUGGUUAAGUUUUGGCUUGGCCUUAAUGCUACUUCAUCCAUAUUUCUGGAUUUCAGAGAAACCAGAUGAAAACCAAGACCUGGCUUUGCUUAUAAAAUGAGGUUUUGGUUUUUGAUGAGCUCUAGGGUGAAAAGACGGGUACUCGGUCUCUAGACGCUUCUGUUAACUUCCAUGCAGCUUACUAAUUUAGUCCGUGUAACUCUGACUUGUAAGACUCUGUGGCCAAACACUAGGUUUAGUUUUAUUAACAGGCCUGUGACACCGGAUGGGAAGAAGGUGUACUGGCCUCCUAAUUGAUUGCAAACGUCAUUCUUGCUUUUAUGGGGAAGUCAAUUGUGUUUCAUCACGAGCAACUCAAACAGAGCAACUCAAACUGUGACUGUAUAGGAGACACAAUUCUGUGUUUAGCAGCCUGGAGGGAAGAGCAAAACAAACUUUUACUUCCUUGAAAAGGCACUAUGGAACAGACUAAUUACAAACGGUGGGACCCAGAUAGUAAACAAACCUUCUGCCAUUCUGUCAACAUUCUGUGAUUAAAGGAGGAUCUUCUACCAGCAGAAGACACAUUCAGGAUAAAGAAGAAAGCCAAAUCAUUACAGAUUCCAUGGUGGCAAACAUGCGAAGAAUGGCUUCCGACAGUAAUAAGGCCUUUUAAUGGAAUUGUCUGUCUGCUGUGGGGGUAAAAGACUAGAGUCUUUCAGGUGUUUGCCACCCAGAAAAUGUAAGUCUGACGAUCCAGGACGUUGUUUGGGCAAAUGUGGCAGCUCAUGUACGUGACUGGGGGGGUCUCUGUCUUUUUCUUCAUCUUAAGAGCAAAGCACCUAAACUCCCAUCUCAGUAACCGUGCCUCAAGACACAGCCUUCUCACCUUAGUGUAAGAGGCCAUCUGCCUGCAUUGCCUACCCCCUCUUUUUUAAAAGAUUUUAUUGGGGAAUUG